rnacentral:rRNA from 1 species
AUUGAACGCUGGCGGCAGGCCUAACACAUGCAAGUCGGACGGUAGCACAGAGAGCUUGCUCUUGGGUGACGAGUGGCGGACGGGUGAGUAAUGUCUGGGGAUCUGCCCGAUAGAGGGGGAUAACCACUGGAAACGGUGGCUAAUACCGCAUAACGUCGCACGACCAAAGAGGGGGACCUUCGGGCCUCUCACUAUCGGAUGAACCCGGAUGGGAUUAGCUAGUAGGCGGGGUAAUGACCCACCUAGGCGACGAUCCCUAGCUGGUCGGAGAGGAUGACCAGCCACACUGGAACUAGGAGACGGUCCAGACUCGUACGGGAGGCAGCAGUGGGGAAUAUUGCACAAUGGGCGCAAGCCUGAUGCAGCCAUGCCGCGUGUAUGAAGAAGGCCUUCGGGUUGUAAAGUACUUUCAGCGGGGAGGAAGGCGGUGCGGUUAAUAACCGUACCGAUUGACGUUACCCGCAGAAGAAGCACCGGCUAACUCCGUGCCAGCCGCCGCCGUAA